UAAGGAAUAUUGGUCAAUGGACGGAAGUCUGAACCAGCCAUGCCGCGUGCAGGAAGACGGCCCUACGGGUUGUAAACUGCUUUUGUACGGGAAUAAACCUCUUUACGUGUAAAGAGCUGAAUGUACUGUAAGAAUAAGGAUCGGCUAACUCCGUGCCAGCAGCCGCGGUAAUACGGAGGAUCCGAGCGUUAUCCGGAUUUAUUGGGUUUAAAGGGUGCGUAGGCGGCCUGUUAAGUCAGGGGUGAAAGACGGUAGCUCAACUAUCGCAGUGCCCUUGAUACUGAUGGGCUUGAAUAUACUAGAGGUAGGCGGAAUGUGACAAGUAGCGGUGAAAUGCAUAGAUAUGUCACAGAACACCAAUUGCGAAGGCAGCUUACUAUGGUAUGAUUGACGCUGAGGCACGAAAGCGUGGGGAUCAAACA
rnacentral:rRNA from 1 species